rnacentral:rRNA from 1 species
AACGAACGCUGGCGGCAGGCCUAACACAUGCAAGUCGAACGCUCCGCAAGGGGAGUGGCGCACGGGUGAGUAACACGUGGGAACCUACCUUCUGGUACGGAACAACCAAGGGAAACUUUGGCUAAGACCGUAUACGACCUCCGGGUGAAAGAUUGAUCGCCGGAAGAGGGGCCCGCGUCCGAUUAGGUAGUUGGUGAGGUAACGGCUCACCAAGCCUUCGAUCGGUAGCUGGUCUGAGAGGAUGACCAGCCACACUGGGACUGAGACACGGCCCAGACUCCUACGGGAGGCAGCAGUGGGGAAUAUUGGACAAUGGGCGCAGCCUGAUCCAGCCAUGCCGCGUGAGUGAUGAA